rnacentral:rRNA from 1 species
GACGAACGCUGGCGGCGUGCCUAACACAUGCAAGUCGAGCGAUGAAGUUCCCUUCGGGGAAUGGAUUAGCGGCGGACGGGUGAGUAACACGUGGGCAACCUGCCUCAUAGUGGGGGAUAGCCUCCCGAAAGGGAGAUUAAUACCGCAUAAGAAGUGAAAAUCGCAUGAUUUCAGCUUUAAAGGAGUAAUCCGCUAUGAGAUGGGCCCGCGGCGCAUUAGCUAGUUGGUAAGGUAAUGGCUUACCAAGGCAACGAUGCGUAGCCGACCUGAGAGGGUGAUCGGCCACAUUGGAACUGAGAUACGGUCCAGACUCCUACGGGAGGCAGCAGUGGGGAAUAUUGCACAAUGGGGGAAACCCUGAUGCAGCAACGCCGCGUGGGUGAUGAAUGUCUUCGGAUUGUAAAGCCCUGUCUUUUGGGACGAUAAUGACGGUACCAAAGGAGGAAGCCACGGCUAACUACGUGCCAGCCGCCGCGGUAAUAC